UGGGGAAUAUUGGACAAUGGGGGCAACCCUGAUCCAGCAAUGCCGCGUGUGUGAAGAAGGUCUUCGGAUUGUAAAGCACUUUCGACGGGGACGAUGAUGACGGUACCCGUAGAAGAAGCCCCGGCUAACUUCGUGCCAGCAGCCGCGGUAAUACGAAGGGGGCUAGCGUUGCUCGGAAUGACUGGGCGUAAAGGGCGUGUAGGCGGUUUACACAGUCAGAUGUGAAAUCCCCGGGCUUAACCUGGGAGCUGCAUUUGAUACGUGUAGACUAGAGUGUGAGAGAGGGUUGUGGAUUCCCAGUGUAGAGGUGAAAUUCGUAGAUAUUGGGAAGAACACCGGUGGCGAAGGCGGCAACCUGGCUCAUGACUGACGCUGAGGCGCGAAAGCGUGGGGAGCAAACAGGAUUAGAUACCCUGGUAGUCCACGCUGUAAACGAUGUGUGCUAGAUGUUGGGUAACUUUGUUAUUCAGUGUCGCAGUUAACGCGUUAAG
rnacentral:rRNA from 1 species